GUGUUACAGCCGCCGCGGUAACACAUGCAAGUCGAACGGAUCACAUGAUUUCGGUUGUGUGGUGAGUGGCGAACGGGUGAGUAACACGUGAGUAAUCUGCCCCGAACUCUGGGAUAACGACUCGAAAGGGUUGCUAAUACCGGAUAUUGAAUCGCCGUCUUUGGGUGGUGGUUUGAAAGUUUUUUCGGUUCGGGAUGGGCUCGCGGCCUAUCAGCUUGUUGGUGGGGUAAUGGCCUACCAAGGCGUCGACGGGUAGCCGGCCUGAGAGGGCGACCGGCCACACUGGGACUGAGAUACGGCCCAGACUCCUACGGGAGGCAGCAGUGGGGAAUAUUGCACAAUGGGCGGAAGCCUGAUGCAGCAACACCGCGUGCGGGAUGAAGGCCUUCGGGUUGUAAACCGCUUUCAGUAGGGGCGAAUUUGACGGUACCUACAGAAGAAGCACCGGCUAACUACGUGCCAGCAGCCGC
rnacentral:rRNA from 1 species